UACUUUGUAACAGAGGAUCCUAUCCCUCCAGGUUCGCUGUUGUAUCGUUUCAUCAAUGACGAUGACUCUUUUAGGAACCAGCGGUUCAAGAUCGUGAACCGGAUCGUGAAAGGACCGUGGAUCGUGAAGACAGCGGUAGGGAACUAUAGUGCUUGUUUGUUAGGUAAAGCCUUAACAUGUAAUUAUCAUAGAGGAGCCAAUUAUUUGGAGAUUGAUGUG
rnacentral:misc_RNA from 1 species